rnacentral:lncRNA from 1 species
CGGCAACAAAUUUCUCGGUCCAUUAAUUUGAUCUACCCAGGACCACUUCGAAUACAACUCCAAUAGAAUUUGGGUCACACUACAACAUAUCUUUAUUCCGAUUUUCCUUUGAUAUGACAUUUUUUAUUCCUUAAAUCCCUUCCAAGACAACUUCAGUUGUGAGACGGAAAGUUUGCUACAGAUUUUGGAAAAAAUGAAACAGUAGAAUUUUUUUCUGUCUCUCAUUUCUUUCAUGUCUUACACUUAUGCUCCCCUUGUUGGUUAAACAACCUGUCUAACCAAUUUUUAGCAGUCAUGCAAGUAUUUUGUUUAAUCACUUAAAUCUAAAUCUACAUUUUAAUUGUGCAUUUCCCUCUUCGUUUUUUGUCUGCUCAACUUACUAAUUGUCAUCUAUAUAUCCUUGUAGUCACUUCUAGCCAAAAUUCACCUUGAAUUAUGCACAUCAGUUGUCUAGUCUUAUCAUACAAGCUUUCAGAUAAGUGAAUUAAGCAAUAUUAAUUAAGCACACAAAACAUGCCUAAUGGGCUAAUUCACGAUAAUUAAAUGUGACGUGUCUAAGCAAGAAUGAUAUGAAAAGUUCUGAUUAGCCUAAUGAAAAUUUCACAGCUUAGGAACAACACUUGCAUUUUUUCGUGAUCUGUUGUCCUGGGUAUACAUCGUCUCCCUCCCUUUCUUAGCAGUCACAUCCAACACGUUAUCUCUUUAUCUAGAUACCCCAAUUACUUUUCUAAUCUAACUUUUCUUUUUCAGGAGUCUUUUUGUUUUUAGAAUACGUACUUGAAGUAAUUUUACCUAAUUUUAUAAUAGCUGUUUUUCCUCAUUCCAAUGAGAAAAUACAGCACAACAAAAAGUUCUAAGUAUAGAAUAAUCACUUAGUUUACUAGACCAUUUUUCAUGAGGAUUAUCGCCAUUCAAUGCAAUAAAUGGAGUCAAAUUAAUCAAAUAACAAGUAGUCAAAACAGCUUUUCCCCACAAUAAUUUUAAGACAUCAGAACUUAACAUCACACUACACAUUUUAUCAAAUAUGGUUCUAUGCACCCUUUCAACUACCACAUUUUGUUGGAGAGUGUGAGGAACAAUCUUAUGCAAUUAUCGGACUUAUUCUUUAAAAGAUAAACCUACGCCUUCUUGUAUAAUCAUCAAUAAUUUACAGGAAAUGAAUGGGGGACAAAAUUGGCAAUUGCCCCCCAAAAAUGAAUAACAGGUACUGUAAAUUUUUUGAAUCGUAUCAAAUAUGGUAGAAUGAACAAAUUUUAAUUCACAUCUCCAACAAUCAUUUUUUGGCUUAAAAUUUUAAAAUAAUCGAUCCCAGACAAGGGCCUAGUGGUUUUCAAUUUACUCACUUUUCUUAAAACUAUAUCAGUUAAAUGUAAAAUGAUUGAAGUGUAAACAAGCCCAUAAGCUUCUUUUUUUUGUUCUUUUGAAAAAUUAAUAGAAAAUUGCUGUUAAUGGUCUUUGAAACCUUUUGUUGAACCAAAAUACCACUCAAUUUUUGUUGCUAGAUUGGAAAAUCAUGUUUUUUUCUUAAAAAUUCCUAAAUCAAAAUUGUGAGUUGUUAUUUUGAAUAAUCAACAAAAAAAAUGCACAAAAUCACAAUUAAGCCACACAAAGCAGACCUAGGGUUGUGAACAAUAUAUAAAGUUUUAGAUUCCUUGGGUUUUGUGAGAUUUGGAUCUCAGUAUUAAGAAAAUGUUCAAACAGGUAACGUUAAGGUAUUCUAAUGAAUUAACGGUUCAAUAGAAAAGAUAUGUCAACCAAAAUAGCUUCACACACAGUAUAUAAUGAAGUUACGAAACUGAUUUUACCACAUGAAUAAUUCAAUCACGUAACAAUUAAGGGCAAAUAGUUCAAAAUUUCUAGCAUAGGCAAUGGUUAUCUCACAUGGUAACCCAAUCCUAGUGUCACCCUGCAUGAUGAUGCACUAGCGUUGGAAAUUAAAUGAGAUAAGUUAACUUACCACGUCGGACCAUGUCUGAAGUCCAUAAAAUCGAGAGAUGGGAAUCUUCUGCUUUAGAGUCACUACUAUUUGCCCUAAAGUUCCAACAAAUGUAUCAACGCAAUUGAUCAAAGAUUGCAAACCAAAUGUCCGAGGACAAAAUUGUUCAAGAUUUAUUUUAUAACUUGAAACACAAAAUUAAAGUUAUCAGUACAUUCAGAAUGAUAAAACGAGAAAACUGUUUGAAUGAAGUUUCUCCAGAUUCUACUACCAUCGUCGUCGACUGCUGUCAACAUCAUACGCUACACACUGCACACCCAGUGGCACUCCACCUACAUAGUGUAGUUCUAGCCUCCGUUUGCCCAAAAGCUUCUUCGUUUAACUAGAAAUCAAGGUUGUGAGUUCGGUUGAUUAUGAAGAAAUAGAAUUUUGGGCGAGUUUUUGGUCGAUUUUGGGUUUGAAGACUUGAACCAAUGCUCUAACUCCAAAUGUUAUGCAGAAGUAAAUACCACUAAGGCUUUUUCUGGGCUCAGUAUAUACUCCAAUCAAUCAAAACCUCAUAUAGGCCGUGUCAUCGAUGAUUAGCAACAGACUUCCGUUGUUAUUUCCAUCGCUAAUUUGAAAUAAAAAUAAAUUGAAUUACUAUUUUAAUUAUUAUUCUCUUGAGAACAUAACAUAUUAAAGUUUAAAAUCAAAAGUAAAUAAAAUAAAUUGCAAUAAGAUGUACAAAAUGACUGAAAAUGAACAUGAAAUUGUAAGCACCUACUACUCUAAGCUUCUUCUAUUUUAGUUUUAAGCUCCAACCUUACAAUUCUUUCGUUCAGGCUAGUGAUGAAUGAACAACAGGACAGGUCAAAAACACAUAUACAAAUAGCUAAAUUAACUAAUUAGUAUAACAAAAUAGUAUACAAUUCGUAGUUGGUACCUAAUGUGAGUUCUUUUUAACGCCAGAACUUAUGUUCAGGUUGAUGACGAAUGAUUGGCAAGGUAGUUCCAAAAAAAUACAAAUAGAUAGGCAAAUGAAUAAAUUAGUAAAAGAAAAUGACGUACACUUUGCAAUUGAUGGCAUAUGUUUUUUUACACCGAAAUUUAUGUUUAGGCUGAUAACAAAUGGUAGCAUGUUUGGUAGGAAUGAUGGAUUGCAUUGGACAAUAUUAUGAAGAAGGGAACUAAAAUUUUGAUAUCAUAAUACCAUCAAAGCCUGUCUAAUAUUGCAUAGAAAACAUCACAUGUCCAAUUCUCCAUCAGACUAAACAAUUAUCAUUUUCCUCAAUGGUUAACACCUUUUUCUACACUCAAAUGAAAAACAAAAUAUGCAAUUUAACUAUUUAUACAUAAAGUUAUAGGAUAAACUGAAGGUCGAUUAUAAAAGCUUGACAAAAUAGAGCAUCAAAUUAGCUUUGACUGAGAACCAGCGAGGACAUUUCACCUUUGAACAUAUACCUUAACAUAUCCAAUCUUCUAUUUUACUUUUCGUGUAUUAUCCACAAAAAAAAAAAAUUCAGAUUCAAUAUUCAACGAAUAAGAAUUUAUUUCAAUGAUAAUUCGAGAAAAAGAAAUGGAAAACUAUUUUAGAGGACAAAAAUUUAUACUUAAUGAAAAAAAUAGAGUUCUGAAAAGAUGAAAAAUGAAAAGGAACUAAAUAGUUAUUGUGAGUUGUAAGCAUAAUAAUAUUGUAACUCUUCAUAUAUUAGGACAAAAACCAUACUACCAUCUUUACCCUCACAAUAAUACAUAGAAAUUCGUAGAUAACAUCAUGCCAAAAAUAUGUAUACUUUCCUACCGAACCUAGCCCAACGUACUACCAUCUCACCCUCACCAAAACACCUACCAUUGCUCCCUCCACUGCGACCUUCGUCAAUCAUCAUCACCUACAGAUCCACUACCACAUACCCCUAUAAAACUCGAAAUCGAAGCUACUGCUCUUGCAUUAUAGCUCAAAAAAUUGGAAGAAAUCUACAGAAGGAAGAAAUUGAAUGCAUUAGAAUUAUAAUUACAGGUAUAUGUCUCAAUUCCAAUAGAUUUUUUUGAAUUUCAUUCAACAAUCGAGAAGAAAGAAGUAAAAUUUGCGUUAAUGGAGGGUUUUCCUUUCCUGAAAGUGGAUAGAAUGAAAGCUUUUGGUAGCACAUCGACUUUGGCCAUAGGGAAAAGAUAUACAAUAAGCAUACCAAGAGGCUAUUAUGUCCUUAGUGCAAGAACUAAUGGGAAAUGAAAAAUACUUCAUAAAUGAACAGUGGAGGAGAAUUUCCUCUUUUAAGAGGGUAGGGAUAAUAAAAGUAGGAAUUUACAAUUUUACAAACAAAAUUUUUAAUUGGCAAUAAUUUUAUUCUUUAUAUAGUUUUCAACGUAAUCAUCCGUUGGAAAAUUCAUUAGUGAAUUAUUUUAUUUGUUUAUUUUUAUAUUUUACCAACGGAUUAGCAACAUACUUUUAUCAACGAAAGACUUUUACUGGUAAUUUUGUUGGUAAUUUAAUAUAUAAUUUUUUAAAAUGAUAAAAUAAUAAUCCAUUGCUAAUUUUUUAUUAAUCCGUUGGUAGUAGCAAUGAAAUAUGUUCGUUGCUAAAAUUUCGCCUCUAUUGCCUCUUUUUCUAGUCUUGGAACACACAAUAGGGAUGUUAUUUCAAUCGCAAAGGCCAAAAAAUUGAUAAGAAAGGCAUAGUAAAGAGAGCACGAAGCAAGUGUCUAUUUUAACUAAAAGGAGAAGACAAAGAAAUAACAUACACAGUUAUAGCCAAAGGGAGGCAGCAUAUAUAAGAUACAAUUAAGGUGUAAUAAUGGGACGAUGCCUAAUAAGUGUUCAAACGCAUUAUUAAGUGGGCCGUUCAUUAUAAGCCAUCUAAAGAGCUAGGAAACAAGCCGUGAGCAACAUUGUUAAAAUAAGGUUACUUCAAAUGGUCCAAAUGUUAUCGAUCCAUCAUCUCCCUUUCUGAAGUAUUCACAACUAUCAUAAUUAUUUAUGAUGAAACCAUGAGUAGUCAUGAAUGAAUCGAACAUUUGUACCACUGCCUUGGUGACUACUUUAAUUUAUACAAGGACUUCUUUAACAAUUACACAUAGUAUUCCUUUCCAAAAAUUAUGAAAACCUUUGGUUGUUGUAUGUAGAUGAUCUCAUCAAGUUCUCCAUCCAAAAAUGCUGUCUUGACAUCCGUCUAUUUAAGUUCCAAGUCAUUCUUUGACACUAUCCCAAGUAAAUUUCAAAUUGAAUUGUGUUUUACAAUUGGGAAGAACACAUUUGUGAUGUCAACACCUAGAAUCUAACAGUAGCCCUUUAUUAUCAAUCUAGCCUUAUACCUAGCAUUUUCAGUCCUUAAUGUCCAUUCUUUCCUUUUGAACACCAAAUUCCUGCAAACAACCCUUUUAUCCUUUGUUAAUUUCACCAAGUCCCAAGUACAAUUUUUAUUUAAUGACUUCAUCUCUUUCUACAAUUGAUUGCCUCUGUAUAUGUAGACUGCUUCCCCAUUCUUUUGUGGAGGUUUAAUCUGUCUGUGAGGUCUAUCCUUAGCAAUAGAAUAUUGUGGUACUGCUGGAAAUGUAGGCAAAGUAUUUCUAUCUAUCAAUUCUAAACUAGUCUGUUCUGAAAUAGGACUAUUAUUUAACAUUUGAUUGUUUCCUUAACCAAUUUUCAACUCCAUUUGAGUUAAUUGAUUUUGUUUUUCUAGAUUAUUAGAAUUUCCACGAAAUACUACAUCUCUACUAAUUUUUGCCUUUCUUAUCUUAGAACGCCACAAUUUAUAUCUCUUUACACUUGAUUUGUAUCCAAGAAAGACACACUUUCUAGACCUAGGCUCCAACUUCCUAUUAUAUAGAUGAGCAUAAGUAGGGUACACAAAAAUCUUCAAAUCAGUAUAAUAUGAAGGUUUACCAGACCAUACCUCUUCAGGUGUCUUUUUCCCAAUGGCAGUUGAGGAUGAGCGAUUGAUCAGAAAACAAGCUGUAGCGCAGCUUUAGCCUAAAAAUUCUUAGGCAACCCAGAAUUUAAAAGCAAACACCAAACCUUUUCCAUCAAGGUUUUAUUGAUUCCUUCUGCCACACCAUUUUGUUGAGGAGUUCUGGGCACUGUCAAGCGUCAAGAUUCCUUCAGAGCUCCAGAAGCUAUUGAAUUCAUAUGAACAAAACUCCAAACUAGUAUCUGUGCGUAGACGUUUAACCUAAUUUUUAGUCUGCUUUUCAAUCAUUGUUUUCUACUUUUUGAAGGUCCAAACAUAUAACUCUUCUAUUUUAAGAAGAAUACUCAAAUAUUUCGGGAGAAAUCAUCAAUUAUUGCCAACAAGUAAUAAGCAUCUCCUCUUGAAAGUACCCUAGCCGACCCCUAGAGAUCUGAAUGGAUAUAUUCAAGUACUUCCUUCGUGUUGUGUCUACUUGUAGUGAAUUUGACUCUUUUCUAUUUUCCAAAGGCACAAUGCUCAUAGAAUUUCAUCUUAUUGGUCUUCUGUCCUAUUUUACUCAAUUUUGCCAUGUCAUUCUCUCUCUAUGCCCAAGUCACAUAUGCUAAAGUUUAGUAACUUCUUCAUCAGUCAAAUAAAAAGUAGAGACUACUACAUCCCGUGUAACUAUGGAACCCUGCAAAAUGUACAGCUCUGCAGAGUUAUUCUGUCACGUCAUGACAACAAAAGUGCUCUGUCGCCUUCGAAACUCCACCUUCGCCAGUAUACUUAUGACCUUUUGAGUCAAGUGAACUUAAAGAUAUGAGAUUUCACUUAAAUUAUGGAACACCAUCAAACAUUCUAAUUCUGACUAUACUAACUCCAACGUUUUUACACGGCACGUUGUUUCCCAAUAUUACUACACCUCUCGAAACUUUUUUCAUAUGUUGUAAACCAGUCUCUGUUGGGACACAUGAAAGUACAAGCCAACUCAAAAACCCACUCCUCACAAGAUUUGGAAUCCAUGUCAGAUAUCACAAGAGGCUCUAUUUUAGUUUGCGCAUUUUCCACAACAUCAACCUCUGUUGAGUUAAUAGGUUACUUUCUUCUAUCAAUAGCACUAGUAACCUUAUUCAUAUUUUUCAAAGAAUAGCAAUAAGCCCUAAUAUGUCCCUUCUUCUUAUAGUAUUAACACACAUUUCCUGUAUGUUUGAAUUUUGAUAUGCCCCUCAUAAUCCUACCAAAAUUCUUGUUUUGAUUUCUUCCACGAACACCAUGGCCUUUCGCCUGAUUCUUAGGUCCUUCCAGCAAGAUGCCUUAUCUUGGCCUCUUCCAAAAUGAAAGUAUCCCCACUAUAUAGAACAUUAUCUCCAAAAGUCACACAUGAUGGCAAGAGAGAGCACAACAACAUCAACGCCAAGUCCUUCUCAUCAUACUUAGCCUUCAGUGUGUCCAAAUCAACCAUGAUUUCUUUGAAUAUGGUUAAGUGAUCAUCCAAUGACACACUUUCGGACAACCAGUGAGAAUAUAAGUGCUAUUUCAAAUGUAACUUGCUGGUCAAGCUCUUUGUCAUACAAAGUUGCUAUAUAUAUAUAACUCUGAAAACCAAGUUGUAGAUGAAUAGAAAUCCAAAAUGCGUUAAAAUGUGAAAAAUCGAGAAGCAUCGUUGCUCAAGCAGCAUCAAGCAAUAGGGGGCGAGAAGCGGAUGACAAUUCUUUAUUCCAGAUUUGUCGGUUUCGCUCGAGCGAGUAGGUGGCGAAAAACUAGCGAAAAUUCGGCAACAAAUUUCUCGGUCCAUUAAUUUGAUCUACCCAGGACCACUUCGAAUACAACUCCAAUAGAAUUUGGGUCACACUACAACAUAUCUUUAUUCCGAUUUUCCUUUGAUAUGACAUUUUUUAUUCCUUAAAUCCCUUCCAAGACAACUUCAGUUGUGAGACGGAAAGUUUGCUACAGAUUUUGGCUAUAUAUAUAUAACUCUGAAAACCAAGUUGUAGAUGAAUAGAAAUCCAAAAUGCGUUAAAAUGUGAAAAAUCGAGAAGCAUCAUUGCUCAAGCAGCAUCAAGCAAUAGGGGGCGAGAAGCGGAUGACAAUUCUUUAUUCCAGAUUUGUCGGUUUCGCUCGAGCGAGUAGGUGGCGAAAAACUAGCGAAAAUUCGGCAACAAAUUUCUCGGUCCAUUAAUUUGAUCUACCCAGGACCACUUCGAAUACAACUCCAAUAGAAUUUGGGUCACACUACAACAUAUCUUUAUUCCGAUUUUCCUUUGAUAUGACAUUUUUUAUUCCUUAAAUCCCUUCCAAGACAACUUCAGUUGUGAGACGGAAAGUUUGCUACAGAUUUUGGAAAAAAUGAAACAGUAGAAUUUUUUUCUGUCUCUCAUUUCUUUCAUGUCUUACACUUAUGCUCCCCUUGUUGGUUAAACAACCUGUCUAACCAAUUUUUAGCAGUCAUGCAAGUAUUUUGUUUAAUCACUUAAAUCUAAAUCUACAUUUUAAUUGUGCAUUUCCC